UACGGAGGGUGCAAGCGUUAAUCGGAAUUACUGGGCGUAAAGCGCACGCAGGUGGCUGAGUCAGUCGAUUGUGAAAGCCCUGGGCUUAACCUGGGAAUUGCAGUCGAUACUACUCAGCUAGAGUAUGGGAGAGGGUAGUGGAAUUCCCGGUGUAGUGGUGAAAUGCGUAGAUAUCGGGAGGAACACCAGUGGCGAAGGCGACUACCUGGCCCAUUCUUGACGCUGAGGCGCGAAAGCUAGGGGAGCGAACGGG
rnacentral:rRNA from 1 species